GGUCGAAUAUGCAAAAUGUAGAAAUAACCUGCAAUCUGCAUAUUUUGCAAGGGGGGUUUGUUUAAGGACUAGUUUGCUUCAGCGUACUCUUUUCAAGCUAGUGUGAAUAUUAGAAAAUAGUAGCUUACACUUAUUGGCACUAGUCUGAAGCAUCUAGUGUGAAUAUUAGAACGUAGUUGCUAACUUGCUUGACAGUCCAAAAUUGGCAAUAUUUGAGGGUCAGAAGAAAAGACUAAAGCUCCAUGCGACAAGUGGAGGCAGUUAUGAGGCUUAGUUGCUAGACUACCUUGUUGAACUAUAAAGUACGUUUCAAAAGAUGUCAUCUAUGAACAUGGUUCUUAAAGAUGGUUUGCUAAAUGGAGCAGCUGUACUUGGGGUUCCUGUAAAAGCUACGAUCAAAGAGGCCAACAGCGAAUCUUUUGUAGUAAGAACUUUGGACAGGAAAAAACUUUG